UCGGGAAUUUUGUGCAAUGGGCGAAAGCCUGACACAGCAACGCCGCGUGAAGGAUGAAGUCCCUCGGGAUGUAAACUUCGUAAGAAUAGGAAGAAUAAAUGACGGUACUAUUUGUAAGGUCCGGCUAACUACGUGCCAGCAGCCGCGGUAAUACGUAGGGACCAAGCGUUGUUCGGAUUUACUGGGCGUAAAGGGUGCGUAGGCGGCAUAUCAAGUCACUUGUGAAAUCUCCGGGCUUAACUCGGAACUGCCAAGUGAUACUGAUGUGCUAGAGUGCAGAAAGGGCAACUGGAAUUCUUGGUGUAGCGGUGAAAUGCGUAGAUAUCAAGAGGAACACCUGAGGCGAAGGCGAGUUGCUAGGCUGACACUGACGCUGAGGUACGAAAGCUAGGGGAGCGAACGGGAUUAGAUACCCUCGUAGUCCCUGAGCGGGCUGGCAAGGCGCAU
rnacentral:rRNA from 1 species